rnacentral:tmRNA from 1 species
GGGGGCGCCUGGUAUUGACAGCAUAGGUCUUUGAAAGUAUAAGCAUGUCGCGCGUUGGAUAAUUAGCGCGUUAAUCUGAAUAUUCAAACAUUCAAAUGGCAAUACACAGUAUGCCAUGGCUGCCUAAUCAGUGAUUAAGUAGUCAUUCGGGCCGCGCGAGCAGGUUGUUCUGUUACCAAGCUCCGCCGCCGACUCAAAACAAAUACAGGAUGCGGCGACCGAAGGCUGUGACGGUCGCCUAAGACUAUCCAGCUAAGGCAUAUACCGGUUCGUCCGUCUCCACUAUAUGCCCGACAAAUAAUGCCGGAAUAAGCAUGUAGAAAACUUUUGCAGAAUAUGUUUGGACAGGGGUUCGAUCCCCCUCGCCUCCACUU